rnacentral:rRNA from 1 species
GCUAAUACCGCAUAAUGCCUACGGGCCAAAGAGGGGGACCUUCGGGCCUCUCGCGUCAAGAUAUGCCUAGGUGGGAUUAGCUAGUUGGUGAGGUAAUGGCUCACCAAGGCGACGAUCCCUAGCUGGUCUGAGAGGAUGAUCAGCCACGCUGGAACUGAGACACGGUCCAGACUCCUACGGGAGGCAGCAGUGGGGAAUAUUGCACAAUGGGCGAAAGCCUGAUGCAGCCAUGCCGCGUGUAUGAAGAAGGCCUUCGGGUUGUAAAGUACUUUCAGUUGUGAGGAAGGGGGUGUAGUUAAUAGCUGCAUCUCUUGACGUUAGCAACAGAAGAAGCACCGGCUAACUCCGUGCCAGCAGCCGCGGUAAUACGGAGGGUGCGAGCGUUAAUCGGAAUUACUGGGCGUAAAGCGCAUGCAGGUGGUUCAUUAAGUCAGAUGUGAAAGCCCGGGGCUCAACCUCGGAACUGCAUUUGAAACUGGUGAACUAGAGUACUGUAGAGGGGGGUAGAAUUUCAGGUGUAGCGGUGAAAUGCGUAGGGAUCUGAAGGAAUACCAGUGGCGAAGGCGGCCCCCUGGA